AGGGUGAUGCCAGAAUGGUAAUAGGGGUUGUCUGUAAAACAAUUGUACUUCGUACGGGGAAGGUUCGAUUCCUUCUCACCCUA
rnacentral:tRNA from 1 species